CACUGGUUGAGAGCCGACAUUGCUCUCCUGAUGAGUCCAAGACAGGACGAAACAAGUG
rnacentral:sRNA from 1 species